rnacentral:lncRNA from 1 species
CUUUAGGUGGGAGCUAUUAGGGCAUUGAGGGCUUAUUUGUAGGACCUUUUGGGUCUUGUUGAGUUGAGUUUUUCAGAUCUUUGGUGGAUUGGAGGCUUGGGAAUUUGAAUUGGUGAGGUGUUGGGGUAGUUUCUGUUCUUCAAGGACUUAAGGGUUUGGGGUACCAGUACCACAAAAAUGGAGAAAGUGAAAUGGGGGCCUUUGAUUCUAGCCGUUAUUCUUUUGGGGUUCAUUGGCCAUGGAUCAUAUGCCUCAUUCACCCCCGUUGAUAACUACUUAAUUGCCUGUGGAUCUUCAAAGAACCUCACAUUCCAAGGUCGUACUUUUGUUCCUGAAGUGCAAUCUUCAAUUGUAUUGAAAAGUCAAGGAAAUUCUGUCACUGCUGUCUCCAGUUCCACUGCCUUGCCUCCCAUUUAUCAAUCUGCUCGUAUUUUCUCCGGGAUAGCUUCUUACAAAUUUGAAAUUGAGCAGGAAGGGCGGCACUGGGUUCGUCUCUAUUUUUACCCUAUUUCCAACUCCAGCCAUGACUUGACGUCAGCCUCAAUAACUGUAGUCACUGAUAGUUUUGUGCUCUUGAACAAUUUCACUUUCAAGAACUAUAAUCGUUCCUACUUGUUCAAGGAGUA